GAGUUUGAUCGUGGCUCAGGACGAACGCUGGCGGCGUGCCUAAUACAUGCAAGUCGAGCGAAUCAUCGGGAGCUUGCUCCCGGUGAUUAGCGGCGGACGGGUGAGUAACACGUGGGCAACCUGCCUGUAAGACUGGGAUAACUUCGGGAAACCGGAGCUAAUACCGGAUCAAGCUUUUCCUCGCAUGAGGAAAAGCUAAAAGACGGUUUCGGCUGUCACUUACAGAUGGGCCCGCGGCGCAUUAGCUAGUUGGUGAGGUAACGGCUCACCAAGGCGACGAUGCGUAGCCGACCUGAGAGGGUGAUCGGCCACGACUGGGACUGAGACACGGCCCAGACUCCUACGGAGGCAGCAGU
rnacentral:rRNA from 1 species